rnacentral:rRNA from 1 species
AGAGUUUGAUCCUGGCUCAGGAUGAACGCUGGCGGCGUGCUUAACACAUGCAAGUCGAACGGGGAACAUUUUAUGGAAACUUCGGUGGAAAUAGCUUGUUCCUAGUGGCGGACGGGUGAGUAACGCGUGGGUAACCUGCCUCACACUGGGGGAUAACAGUCAGAAAUGACUGCUAAUACCGCAUAAGCGCACGGGAUUGCAUGAUCCAGUGUGAAAAACUCCGGUGGUGUGAGAUGGACCCGCGUUGGAUUAGCCAGUUGGCAGGGUAACGGCCUACCAAAGCGACGAUCCAUAGCCGGCCUGAGAGGGUGGACGGCCACAUUGGGACUGAGACACGGCCCAGACUCCUACGGGAGGCAGCAGUGGGGAAUAUUGCACAAUGGGGGAAACCCUGUUGCAGCGACGCCGCGUGAAGGAAGAAGUAUCUCGGUAUGUAAACUUCUAUCAGCAGGGAAGAAAAUGACGGUACCUGACUAAGAAGCCCCGGCUAACUACGUGCCAGCAGCCGCGGUAAUACGUAGGGGGCAAGCGUUAUCCGGAUUUACUGGGUGUAAAAGGAGCGUAGACGGAGCAGCAAGUCUGAUGUGAAAGGUGGGGGCUCAACCCCUGGACUGCAUUGGAAACUGUUGAUCUUGAGUACCGGAGAGGUAAGCGGAAUUCCUAGUGUAGCGGUGAAAUGCGUAGAUAUUAGGAGGAACACCAGUGGCGAAGGCGGCUUACUGGACGGUAACUGACGUUGAGGCUCGAAAGCGUGGGGAGCAAACAGAAUUAGAUACCCUGGUAGUCCACGCCGUAAACGAUG